AACAAACCAAAUUUUCACUUUUUAUCUAUAAUAUUUGACUCUUUAUCUUAUUAAAAAAAUUACGAUUAAUAUUUUUAUUUUUAUUAGAUGAUAAAUUAUGAAUAAUACUUAACGUGUGAUUAUUUUUUUUUAAUUUUUUAAAAAAGAUUCAAAAAAGACGGAUGGUUAAAUGUUAGACACAGGAACCUGUGGGACGGAGA
rnacentral:pre_miRNA from 1 species